rfam:Thermoplasmatales archaeon SCGC AB-539-N05 MBGDN05_Contig44.44, whole genome shotgun sequence.
GGGCUUAUGGUCUAGUUGGUUAUGACGUCGCCCUCACACGGCGGAGGUCGCCGGUUCAAAUCCGGCUAAGCCCA